rnacentral:rRNA from 1 species
UACGUAGGGUGCAAGCGUUGUCCGGAAUUAUUGGGCGUAAAGAGCUCGUAGGCGGUCUGUCGCGUCGGCUGUGAAAACCCGAGGCUCAACCUCGGGCCUGCAGUCGAUACGGGCAAACUAGAGUACUGCAGGGGAGACUGGAAUUCCUGGUGUAGCGGUGAAAUGCGCAGAUAUCAGGAGGAACACCGGUGGCGAAGGCGGGUCUCUGGGCCAACACUGACGCUGAUGCGCGAAAGCUAGGGUAGCAAACGGG